rnacentral:rRNA from 1 species
AGAGUUUGAUCCUGGCUCAGGACGAACGCUGGCGGCGUGCUUAACACAUGCAAGUCGAACGCUGAACCGGUUUCGGCCGGGGAUGAGUGGCGAACGGGUGAGUAACACGUGGGUAAUCUGCCCUGUACUCUGGGAUAAGCCUGGGAAACUGGGUCUAAUACCGGAUACGACUCUCGGAGGCAUCUUCGGGGGUGGAAAGUUCCGGCGGUAUGGGAUGAACCCGCGGCCUAUCAGCUUGUUGGUGGGGUAAUGGCCUACCAAGGCGACGACGGGUAGCCGGCCUGAGAGGGUGACCGGCCACACUGGGACUGAGACACGGCCCAGACUCCUACGGGAGGCAGCAGUGGGGAAUAUUGCACAAUGGGCGGAAGCCUGAUGCAGCAACGCCGCGUGAGGGAUGACGGCCUUCGGGUUGUAAACCUCUUUUAGCAGGGAAGAAGCGAAAGUGACGGUACCUGCAGAAAAAGCGCCGGCUAACUACGUGCCAGCAGCCGCGGUAAUAC